rnacentral:tRNA from 1 species
GCGCGAGUGGCUCAGUUGGUAGAGCACAACCUUGCCAAGGUUGGGGCCGCGG